rnacentral:lncRNA from 1 species
GAGCUGCGUCCUGUUCACAGAGAAUGAAGCAGACUUGCCAGCCAGCCCCUGGGUUACCUCCUUUCAUGGCAAAGAAGCACAAGAGGCAAACUCCACAGUUCCUGUGGAAGUAGGAUUUGCUCCAUCACAAAGGUGUGCCCAGCCCUACCUGGUAGGGCAGGACUGCCUAAUAAGAUGUGUUGCAAUCACCUGUGCAGGCUGACAACCACUUGCCCUUUUACAUGGUUGGAAAAAUGUUUCAGCUACCUAGACAUAAACUUCUGCUGAUAAUGAACUGGCCUGGAACAAAGACCCAGUGCACGGAAUUUCACUUCAAUUUCUUGACUGCUCUGUGGAAGCACUCAAGCCAAAGACAUCAAAUCAGCUCCAUGCAUACAUUCAGGAAUAACUACAAGUAUGGUGAGCUUGUGUAUGAGAAGACAAAGUUGCACCACUGCCAUGAUGAAGGACAGCCAAUUCUGCCAGCACAUGCACAGCCCUCCGAGUCUCAGCUGGGCAUCUCCACUGUCCCCCCACCACAUAAAACAGAACCCAGAUUCAUGGGGAUCUAUAUUCAAGAUCCUGUAUCUCCAGGAAAGAGCUCCCACACCUUUCCCCUCCAUCUACACUGGAGCACAGCUGGGAGUAGAGCCAAGGGGAACCAGCUUGGAGACUCCAGGCCAACUUUACUAAUUGUCAUAGACUUUUAGGUGAAGAUACUGCAGAUUCAAGUGUGAAUGAAGUCCAAAUAUUCAGAAAAAUCACUGUAAAACAGGUGUUAUCUAAAAGGGAAGCCAAGGAAGUGCUGUAAGAAUGACUCAGAAGCUGUCCAAUUCAGAGCCUGUAAACACAACUGAAAAGCACAAAAUAGUGAACCGCCAGGUCAAGAUCUCAACCUCACUGAGGUACAUUGGCUUUAACCACAAAAGCUUCCUCCUCAGUAGACAUGAAGCACUUUCCAGCUGAGGAUAUUAACAAAUGUAUUACAUAGUAGUUUGCUUAUGUGAAUUUUAAAUUAUAUCAUCCUGGAGAAUGCUUACAUCUGAUGCUGUCUGAGGAGUACUUACUGCUGCUGAGAAAAACUGAAAAUGGAGAGGUAAUAAAGAACAUCAUCUGCAGUGCA